rnacentral:rRNA from 1 species
UACGUAGGUGACAAGCGUUGUCCGGAUUUACUGGGCGUAAAGAGCGCGCAGGCGGUCGAUCAAGUCGAGUGUGAAAGCCCCCGGCUCAACUGGGGAGGGUCAUUCGAUACUGAUCGACUCGAAGGCAGGAGAGGGUAGUGGAAUUCCCGGUGUAGUGGUGAAAUGCGUAGAUAUCGGGGGGAAUACCAGUGGCGAAAGCGGCACCCUAGCAUUUUCUGACGCUCAUGUGCGGAAGCGUGGGGAGCGAACGGG